rnacentral:lncRNA from 1 species
CGGAGCGCCGCGGGGAGAGCACGUCGCACCCGUUACGCCCUUCGAUUCGGCCUCAAGUUCGAUUGGAUAGAGGCCGUCCCGGCUCCCCGCCCCCUCGGCCCACCCCAUUGUCAAUCACACCAUCUCUUGGGUAACUCAGGGCACCGUUGGUCAGUCUAGUAUGAGGGCGGGUUGUUGGGCGGGAAAGAGCUGCUUUUCCAGCGUACUUUGCUGUUACCGUGGAGACUGCGCAGCCUGGCCUUGGCGCUGAGGGUCCAGGCAACCCCUUUCCCGCAUGUUGAAGUCUGGAUAUCUGUACAGCAGUCUAGAUAUUACUGCCUGUUCCGGAGUCUGAUGAGCAUCUCAGUCCCCGACCCACUGGCUCUGGUGGCCCGCGGGAUUUGGGGGGCAAAUCAAAUUAGGCCUCGGAGAGGAAGUCAGGCCCAGUCAUCAAGAGUCCCUAACAACCCUCCUGGAGAGAACCGAGUAUGAAGCUGUAAUAACAUCACGUUUUCGUUUAUCCUUACCUCGCCUUAUUUUAUUUGGGGUUAUUCUUCCGUUAGCCUUAUGAAGCGGACUGUGGCAAGAAUCAUUCUACUCACAGGGCAGACUGGCGAAGAGAGACCAGGGUCAAUCAGGUGAAUCUUCUGUGGCUACACCUCCAGGCAGUUGGAACUCCAGCUGGUCCAUGCCUUUGGCAGACUGCUUUUACCUAACUGCAAGCUAAAACUUGCCAUGAUUUUAUUCCGAGGCUAUGGCCUGUUAGACCAAAAGAUCCAAAACUCAGGCCAACCAAAGCAAAUAGGACAGAGGAUCCAUGUUCCAUUGCUGAAUCAGCAAGGGAAAAUAGACAAAAAUAAAAAUAAACAGUACCAGAUCUGAGAGCUGCAGUAUCUGAACCUUUGACCUUAGACAAAAUUCGGAAACGUUAUGAAGCAAACUCUUCAAUCGUGGAAUACUAAAUCUCUGAUUUAGGGAAUUCAGCUCCUGAAUCAUAGCUUUGUGAGUAAAAUGGAAGAACAUGGUUGAAUUCCAUUGAAAGUAUGUAUCAAAUUUAUUCUGCUUUCAAGGUUUCAUUUGCAGUCAUAGGCAGUAACCAACGAUUUCUUAUGUGUUUAACAACUUAACCUUACUUGGCCCGGUGAGGAGCUCUGUGGUUAAGAAAGCCAUUAUUUUGAUUAAUUCAUUUCAUUGGAAUUGAGUGUUAACUGCAGCUAAGCUCUGGUAGGGACUGUGAGGAUAGGAAAGAAAUAUGAUGUGACUCCUGCCUUAAUAGCCUGUGGUUUAUUAAUGUCAAUAGCAUAUGAAACAAUUAGGAAACACUUUAAAGCAAGAUAUAACAAUGUGCCGAACUUAAUUUAUAGUUAGUUGCCCCAAAAGACAAUAAUAACACUUCAUAUUCGUGGAGCAUUUUGUCGUUUUCAGAGCACUUCUCUACUUCCCUUAUCUGAGGGAAAUAUUGUUUUGGCUGGAGUCAGUGUGGGUCUCCAUGGUGUAGCUAGAACUAAUGGUGGGCCCUGGCCUAUGCGGAGGGAUGGGAAAGGUGGACCAGAGAUGGAAGGGAAGCCAGGGAAAGAAAACAGUUUGAACGAAGAGCCUGAGACAAGAGUGAGCACUGACUAUCUGGAGAAUAAUGUGGACACUGAUCUACGCCAGAGUGGAGACAAAUAAUGGAAAAUAAUGCUGUGUAGACCAACUGGUCAGGACAACUUCUAAGCCCUAAAUGUUUUGGGGCAAAGUUUUCCAAAGUUUGAGAUUGGGAAAAUUAACCUUCUUACACUUCUAAUGGUCAAACUGACUUUACUGAAAUUAUCAAUUAAGAAUAGGCACGACUGAGGAGGCACUUCAAACUUCUUACAUCUUCCUGAAUGGAUAUAACAUUUGGGGUUUUCUCUCUCAUUAGAAGGGACCCUCCCCUCAAGCCACCUCUGUCUCAUCCCUUAUCUGGGAGGAGCUGUUAGUUUGAUGAAAUAAUGAAUUUUACCCUGUCAUUGGCAUUAGGAGAAGUGCUGUCACCAGAGCACAUAUCUUUUGCCAUCUCUUAAUCGAAGUUCACUCUAGGAAAGAUUGGUUACUUGACUAUCCAGUCCUUCUCUUUUUAAAAAUUGUCUUCUGUAUGCCAAGUGUUAUACAGUGCCUCUCCAUAUUGCUCCACAGCUCUGCCAUAUAUGUAUCACUCAUAUUGUACUUGUAGAAAGUACAUAGGUGCCAUAUAUGUACACAUAUCACUUUAAUUACAAUUUUCUUUUCUCCUAAACAAACAACAAAUUCCAAGCAACAACAAUCAUAAAAACCAGGGUUUAAUUUCCCCUUUCUCAAAUGUGUGAAAUCAUCUGUUAUACUGCCUGAUAGAGGUAGGGGAGCAAAAGAGGUCAAUUGGGUUAUGGAGUGCAAGGAAUGAUUUCAAGAAAAGACAAAGUUUUCUUGUUCGUUUUGUAGUUACCAAAACUUUUUCUGCCAGAGAGCCUUGAAUUUUUUCUGUACAUCUUCUCAUGUGUGAUUAUUUUAGCAUUUCUGGAGGUCUGAAAAUGUACCAAAAACUUCAGUAAUUGUUGCCUAUUAACUGAGGCUCAAAAGCUGCCAUGGCUCUAUUCUGCUAAUGCGGAACUGGGUAAACAAAACUUGCCCCCCAGUACUACUGUCAGUAGUUGGACCCAAGUUACUGGCCUUCCAAGGUCACCCAGAAUUACUACCAUGAUUUUUCAGAUUAGAAUAUGUACUUGAUGCUAUAGACCAGGGGUCAGCAAACUGGCCUGUGGACCCAAUCUGGCCUGCCAUCUAUUUUUUGUAUGACCUGCAAGCUGAGAAUUAUUUUUAUAUUUUUAAAUAGUUGGAAAAAAUCAAAAGAGGAAAAAUGUGAAAAUUAUAUGAAAUUCUCAGCAUCCAUCUGUCAAGUUUUACUGGAGCACAGGCCCACUUAUUUGUUUACAUGUUGUCUAUGGCUGUUUUCACUUUACAACAGCAGAGUUGAGUAGUUAAUACAGAGACUUAAAAUAGUUACUAUUGGGCUUUUAAGGAAAAGUUCUGAUCACUACUAUCUUAGAGGUCUCUAAUGAAUCAGGUCCCAUGGAAUGUUGGAACUGAAACAGGCUUUGGAAAUCAUGUGGUGUUAAUAAAAAUAUCUUACUUUGAUAGAGAUAAGUUACUUCUUGCCUAAAAUCACGUAGUCAGUGGGCAGAGCUGGUACUAGAACUCUGGUUCCAUUGGUCCGAGGUUUCUUCAAGCAUGAUGUGUCUUUCCUUAUGUAGAGCUUAUCUUACUUAGGAUGGGAUAGGUGUUAUGUAGUCUGGGGACAAGGAGAAUUCAUCAAAGACUCUCCUAAUAUUGAUCUCAUGUCUCACCCCAACAAAUACAGCACACUAUAAUCCAUUUAUGGAUACUUGGACUUUCAUGAUUUCAGCCAAUAUGAGUCACCUUUCGUUUUCCGUUUUCAUCAUUUCUCAAAAGGUUUAUGGCCAUUAUGAAAAACUUUCUCACUUUUAUGCUCUUUCUCUCUUUUAAAAAAAUCUCUUUCUCCUUCGACAAAGGAAUUCAGAGUUGGCUGACUUGCUAUUCCAGUCUAAGGUUCUUGACACAGGUGAGGAUGAUUAGAAAGGCACAGGACGCAGUUUUUACUCUGGAGUCUAUGGCUGGGUCGCACGUGUGGAGAGGGAGGCCUACUGAGUGGUAAGGGUUAGUGUAUACGUGCAUAUGUAGGCUUUUCUGGGGAGACUAUCCAUAGCUUUCAUAGGAUUUUUAAGAGUCCGUGACCCCAAGAAGACUCGGAAUUAUAGAUAUAUCAAAGGAGAUGUGCUUCGGGGAGAAAGCUGCUCAGAUGUGUGGUGGGGGAGACUGACCUAGGUUUUCAGGUCCAUAAGACCUCAGCUGACAUGAGGGGAGAGGUCUUUGCCCACUUACAUCAGCCCAUCCAAGUUUUUUAUCUUCUCUGCCACUCAUAGAGGUGAUAAAAAUUCAUCAGAUUCACAUAACGGUUGAACUCCGAUGGUGAUGAAAUCCCAGUAUAAUUCUCUCCAAAGAAUGUUCUGAUUAAUAGAAACUGCAGAGGAGCUAAUUUUAUGAAAAUAGCAAACGGGAUUGUUUUAGCUGAAGCAAGCUUGGAGAGCGGGUGCUGAUGCUGAGCAGAAGACGCAAACAGUCCAUUGUGUGGAGCUGACAGCUCCAAUCUGGCCGCUUAUUUAUUAAAUGCCUUUCUGCUGUAAAUUAUUAAGCCUGAAUUCUGGGAGAUGAGGGAGCUGACAGAGGAAGACAAUAGAACAGGAAGUAAACCUGGACGGCUGCCUUCAGUCCUGUUGCAGCAUUGUGUCCUGUGAAAGCUUCUGGCUCCCCAGGUUCUGAGAAGGGGGAGCGUCCCCUCCUUGAUGGGACUCAGAAAUGGAUGAGACAAGUAACGUGCUUUUGAUUUCUGAAUUAUUUUCCAGUUCUUACAAAUCAGAAUGUCCUUCAGAGAAAAUUCAACCUGUUGGCUCGACAACUGGGAGCCAGGUUUUUUCUCUGUUCUCUGAAAGGGCUAUGUUGCCCAAACAAGGAAGAACUUGGUCUUCUUUAACAUUAAGAAGGAUCAAGUUAAGGUAAAUUAACUUACUAUUUAAAUGUUUUAGGGUACUCAGCCGCCAGAAGGUUGGGUUCCUUUGGCUUAUUUGAUAGCAGGAAAGGUCUUUCAGCUAUGUUUUAAGCAGAAGAAUAGAAAAAGGCUGGUGGGCAAAGAGGGAGUCGAACUCUGAUUAUGCUCAUCAUCAUGUGAAAAGCUGUGGUUCUGGCAAAUAGGGGAGAAGCUGGUUUACGUGAAUCCUAGGUUCAACUUUUAGCCCUCUGUUUUCUGACCAGCAUAAUAGAAGGCAGAGGGCUUCAUUUCCUGAGCAGACACCGCCUCCUUAUUUGCUCAGGACAAGUAAUCACAUGUCAUUACUAUGGAAGUCCAAGAGUAGGGCCAUGCAUUCCUCAUUUGCUCAUUCACCUGACAACAUUUAUUUAUUUGUGUGCGUGUGCGUGUGUGUGAGGAAGAUUGGCCCUGAGCUAACAUCUGUGCCAAUCGUCCUCUAUUUUGGGUAUGGGACACUGCCACAGCAUAAUUUGAUGAGUGGUGUGUAGGUCUGCGCCCAGGAUCUGAAUCCAUGAACCCUGGGCCAGGGAAGGGGAGUGCACAAACUUAACCACUACACCACUGGGCUGGCCCCUCAUUUGACAAUAUUUAUACUGUGUUACUGUGUGCUUUACACUGUUCUGGAAAGUGGGGCUAACGAAUGAACAAAACAGUCCCUUCUCUCAUGGAACUUACAUUCUAGUGGAAGGAGCCAGAUAAUCAAUCAAUAAAUAUAUAAAAUAUCUACUGGUUGCACGUGCUGUGAAGAAGAUAAGUGGGGUAAAGGGAUAAAGAAUGACGAAGGGGCAUGUAAGGUGGGGGGUAUUAUUUUAUAUAGGGUCAUGGAGAAAGACCUCUCUGAUGAGGUGACAGCAGUGACCUGAAGGAAGUGAGAGAGUGAAGAGCCAAGGGCCAAGCAAGCACCAAGGCCCUGAGAGGGGAGGUGGCAGGUAUAUUCCAAGAAGAACAAAGGGGCCAGUGUGGCUGGAGUGGGAGAAGGGGGUCCACAGGGGCCUUGUAGGGCUUGAGCUUUCUUCUGAGUGACAUGGGAAGCUACUGGACGAUUUUUGCACAGAGUGACAUGAUCUUACUUGCCACAAAAAGGAAAAACAAAAAGCCAUAAUGAGUGCCAAAUACCAGUUAGGGAGUCUACGGUCAGAAUGGGGCCCUCUUCCCAUAGUACCAAGCCAGUAAUAGUCAGCUUUUGGUGAUUCCUUCCCAGUAUGUGGAGUGAGAAGGCUCAUUUCAUCUCCCCUCAUCUGUCGGGCGGGUGGGAUUUCUUUGUUCUUUGGAAAAUGACAUCCUCCCCUGGAGAGUACCAAGGGUGAUGAUAAGGUGGAGUUUCAUAUCCCUUUGUCCUCAGACUAGGAGGAGGAUACGCAGCAUCCAACAGCAAGAGAAUCUGUCACCACUGGCCCUGCCCAGCGCCGAGUUUGCAAUCCAGCCAUCCUUUCUGGAGAGCUGAUAUAAAGUGUCUGGCAAGAGAAGGAUUCCGCGAAUUCUGAUUUUCUCAACUCUGGUGAAGGAGGAGAGGACAGCAGCCCGAGAGGCACAACACCAGGCAGCUGCUGGGAAGAUAUAUAUGGCAAGACUCAGCUGGAGCCUAUACAGGAACAUUUGAAAAAAGUGACCUACCUCAAAGAUUU